rnacentral:lncRNA from 1 species
CGACCACCAGUCAACUCGGUUUAUUCUGCCACCUAUAGAAAUAGCCUAGCAGUGAACUCGAGGGGAAGAUACAGGCAAAACCAAAAAGAACUGUGAAUGUUUGCCUCUGGGCCACCUGCAGUGAUCUCGCACCCUUUGGAGACUGCCCCUCCGAGCCCUGGGAAACACUCCACCCUUCUGGACACAUGUGAGAUGCAGCCUGCCCUUGGGCAGCAGCGUGUGAAGCCGUUCUGCGGUCCUUCUGGCUCAGCUGUUCUUCACGUGUCCUGUGAGCGGAAGUAACAUGUCACAUCUGAGCUGAGGUGGGGCAGGGGCUCUCCGAAGACAUUUUUCUUUCUUGUGUUCUUUCUUUAGCAGAAGAGGAGCACUUAACACUGAAAUGGGGGGCAGCCUCUGAAGAAGACUGAAGCAUUUUGGGUCACUGAACAACCACCCCAGGAAUAGCGUCUCAUAAAGUUUCCCAGAGCCUUACAAACUUUACAUGAGCCCGAACCACAGGGGUUCUGUUAAGCCACUUGGGUGGCUUGUUUGUUUGUUUUUGUUUGCUUGCUUUCCUUAACUUGCCUGGGGACUCACACUCUUAGACAGACAUAGAAUGUUCCAAAGUCACUGAUGCUGUGACUUUCUGUCCACCACGGAAGGACUCCUUCCAGCGGGAGUCGGUGACGCUGCCAAGGUGAGACAUGGGCACUGGGGACUAGGGGCCGAAGACAGACACGGCCUUAGCCUUUCCAAGUGAGCACUACACACAAAAAGGUAUCUCAUGAAUAUUAUUUUUAAGCAAACACCAUAGGACUUUAGCAUGUUAUGGUUAGAACCAUUCACAAACCAAAGUAUCAAAAUAGCAACAACGCUGAAUCUUUUUUAGAGCCAAAGAUAAAAUUUCUCUAUGGUAGCCGUGGAAUUUCAGCCCCUCUAAUCCGUCCUCUCCUACUGCGAGCCCUGCUAUUCCAGGGAUGUCCAGUCCGGAGCUGCUCAAGUGCCCCGUGCAGCUGCUGCAGCAGUGCUGCUGCCGAUCCUUGCAUGAGCAUCCAGUCCACAUGCUCAGGUGCCUGAUAAGAAAGCGAAGCCUUUGACCGAGACACUGGCUUUAAUGGACUUUAAUCAGAGAGCGAUUACGCUCCUCAUCCUCUUCCGGUGAUAAAAUGGAAUUAGUGUGCGUGUCUCUAAUUCUGCAAAUUCUUUAAUCUUCAGGUCCUGGACUGUUUCAUUGUACUCUUCUUUAUGGGGUAUAGAGAAUUCCUAAAAAUGGCAGCAUUCCAAACUUAAAAACAUCUAAAAGGCACUUCCAUAAUAUAUUGAGACUUAGUGGCUUAUAUGACUGUUAAAAGAGUGUAAGUUGUUGGGGGUGAUUGUCUUCCAGUUCAGUUGCUAGUUGUUUAGUUUUGAGAAAGGAAGCAAUGAAGGAAGUUAAGGAAGCAAGGAAAGGAAAGGGAGGGAUGAAGGAAGAGAUAAUUCCAUUAAUUACUUUAUGAACUUAUUUUCAGUCUUGAAGCUUUCACUUUCCUAUAAUCUCCAUUCUACUUCCACUGCAGGCACUAGGGGUUUCCCCGGUAAAUUCGUAUUGAGAGUACAAGGCACUCUAGGUCCUUAGAGGGUGAAACAGUUCCCUGCCAGGAAUCAGUUGGGUCACUGCUUCGGUUACCCACUGAGUCCUGACGGGGUGCAAAUGGCCCGUGUGUGCAGAGCCCAUCCUGGAAGGUGAAGAGGAAGGGACAGACAAAGCCAAGGCAAUUACCGCUGCUCAGCUGGACGGAAACCAAGCACCAGGCAGGUGUUUGCUUAGGUUUCUGUGCCUCUGAUUGCUGUGCAGUUGGCAAACACAUGUGAAAUGCUACACAUCGCUCGCCCACCAUCACCCCUUUCCUGUUAUAUGGAAACAAACACGAACUUUACAGUUGCGAAGAACGCAAUAGAAAAUCAGAAUAUUUAAGAUAAGUCAUAUUUUGGCUUUGAAAGUGAAUUUUCAAAGACUUAAAAGGCUCAUAACGACCCAGGAAACAACCCGGCAGACACCCUCUUCCUCGGCCUUCCCUCCUCCUCCACCCUCCCAGCAGCCCUCCACCGCAGAGAAAGCACGAGGUCUGGACACAGAAAGUGAGGCUGAGCCCAGUGCUGAGAUCCUGGAGAUGAAGCAGGACAGCUGGACUCACCAUUUCAUGUCACUUUUUUCUUAGCUUAUUAAAAUGUGCACAGACGAUUUGUCUGAAUUAUAAUACAUGAGCCAGAUUUUACACAAGGGAGGACUCCGGGGGUAGCGUUUUUGCUUGACUCUGCUGUUCUGUUGAGACUGCUUCUGAGGGGCACUGUGAGGGCUGUCCUGCCUCAGCAGGGCGCUGGACCUGAGGCCAGUGCAUAACACGAGCCCCAUGUGGAGGCCGGCACUGGUACUACAUGUCCACUGUUCAGGCAGCUGCAGUUGCAAAACUAUUUGUGUUCACAAUUUGUUUCCAGUGAGCGAGGAGAUGAAGGCUGGGCCAGCUCUGGGCAGUGCAAAUGUUCAAACGCAGCCACUUUUCAUGCUGAACAGCUUGGGUCCUGCUGCUUGGAGGAAGGGUUUAGUAUUUUCAUAGAUUAUUUAAAAUCUACGACAUUAAAAUCUUGGUCCUGGAUAUACUUACCAAAUCCUUUAAAAUUUUGAAAAGAUGGCCAUAAAUGUUCAGAAACAGAAAUGACAAAUAUGAAAAUAUAUCUUGUAAAGAUGUGUUGAUUAGAAUUUAAUAAAACCACUUGAAAAUUCGAUAGUCUGCUUUUAAUCAGGCUGGAUUCCUAACGCCGAUCUCAUAAGCAAAGCAUCUCUCACAUGACUAAUACCAUGGGACAAUGAUAUAAUUGUUACAUACCUUUUUAUAUAACCGUGUUUAUAAUAGGAAAUAAAUAAUGCAAAACUAUGAAGAGAACUUAUCAAGUAGUCUAGUGCCAACCUCACCCCACCUGCUUGCCAAAUGAUAAAAACAAAAUAAGACAGUAUCUUUCUCGGAGAUCUAAACAGAAAGAAUAUUUUCAGCCUAGAGUUUUACUCUGUAUUACAAAAGGCUAAGAAUCACGAUGGUUGCUGAGAUACUAUCAUGGAUGUACAUAGAACUAUGUAAAAGAUUAACUAUGGGGAUUUCAGUACAUUGUUUGAUGAUCGGAAUGUAGAUCACUUGUGAAUGUAAA